rnacentral:rRNA from 1 species
GACGUAGGGUGCAAGCGUUGUCCGGAAUUAUUGGGCGUAAAGAGUUCGUAGGCGGUUCUUUAAGUCUGGUGUUAAAGACGGGAGCUCAACUCCCGCAUGGCAUUGGAAACUGGAUAGCUAGAGUACGGUAGAGGUCUCGGGAAUUCCAGGUGUAGCGGUGAAAUGCGUAGAUAUCGGGAGGAACACCAGUAGCGAAGGCGGCUCGCUGGGCCAUUCCUGACGCUGAGACGCGAAAGCUAGGGGAGCGAACAGG